GAAUAAUCGGUUUUUUCUAAUGACAUUAAAUUUUAUUGUUUGUUGUUGUUUUGAAUGUUUUCAUGUUUUGUGGACCGACCAAGUCAAGACUGCACCCAAUGGCCCACUCCGGCACUCCGCGAAUUCACUGCACUAGAAGAGAAGAAGACGGGACGGGAGGAAUGGCGCAAUGUUAAGCUUGAACCCCUGAAUGUGACGACGACCACUGCCAAGAGUAACGACGAAGAAGAAGUGUUCCAUGGACGUAUCGCGAUGCGCAAUCCCGGGAGCGGGCGCGCAAUCAAAAAUUGUUUAUAAAAGUGAGAAACUAUAUGAAGCACUAAGUAUAAUGGAUGAAUUCGCCGAAAUUAUAGUAGUGUCAAACAACCAAAAUUGAAGCUGAACAGUGAUAGCAGUGGGACAUUUGAGUCAUUGCAGCAAAACCGCAGAUUACGGAAAAAAACAUACAGAGCAGACAAACAUCUGUCCAUGCAGGGUCUCUGCUGGCAAUCACUUGGCAGUAAGACGGUCAGGACGGCUUGUAACACGUGGAGGCGGUCAGUGGAGAAGAAGACUGGCGCAAGUGGACUAGGCUGGAAGGAUUUGGAAGUAGUCGCCUAGGACUGUGAAAAGUGGGAGAUUCUUCUAAGAGCCCUAUGCAUAGUGAGGGAUAAUAGGAUCACAUCAUCAUCAUUCAACACUAUGUUAUGAUUACUUGAUGUUAGUUGUGAGUAGGUAGUGAUAUUGUUAUAAUGAUAUUGAAAGUCAAUUAUAUUGUUACAAUUAUACGUAGGUAUACAUAUGACAUAUCUCUUUUUAUCUUAUUUUACUAUACAUUUGAUUCCGAUAAAAGCUAUCUAUAUUUUUAUGCCUUCCCAUUGCAAAGUAAUCUCGUAUAUUAUUUUGAUUUUCACACGCAACAUCAUCAAAUAUAAUGGAAUUCAUGUUUGCUGUAUAAAAUCAUUUACACUAUAUUUUUGAAAUGAAACUGAAGGAACUAGUUGUCAAACUUGCUCUAGAAAUUGAUACAUCGGUUGAAAUAAGGUUUUAGAGUAAGUACUCGUGUACAUAAACAUAUUGAAACCAUAGACCUUGUUCAUGUAGCAGCAAACCAACAAUUAAAUUUGUUUUUCCACAGUUGAACGGACCGCAUAUUAUACAGCCAAUGUGAUCCAUUGAAAUCGUAUGUUUCAGGGGCGGUUGGUUUGCAUCAAAUGAGGUUAGUUCUAAUUUUUUAUACAUAUAUUAUUAGCGAUGAAAUAGGGAUAUCAAAUCCGAGUUUUCCACCUCGAAAGCCGAUGGGGUCAUUAUUCAAUACUUGAAAAACCAUGAAAUUUAAGGA